rnacentral:lncRNA from 1 species
CUAACAAGUUCUAAUACCUAGAUGGUUCCCAGAUCCACCAGCUUACAAAAAAGCAGCCUUUACAUCACUGUUCAAAAGAAUGUUUUUAUACUGCUCCAACCACCGAGACCUAAACAAUGAAAUUAAUUACAUCUAUGAAAUUGGUCAUCAGCAUGGAAACCCAAAAAGCUUCAUAAAAACUAUAAAUAACCAAAUCCAACAGGCAUCAUACCAAAACCACCUACAACAUUUGAACCAACUACAAGUAGCCAUAAACAGUUAUAUUCUUUUCACUGCUUUGUUAUUACUUUGAAAAAACCAAUUAUCAUAAAGAAAGCACUAAACAGCAGGUAUACAAGUAACAACAAACAUUUAAUGCAAACGUUUUUGAUGCUUACGCAUCCUCUUCAGGAC